UUUUUUUUUUUGUUAGUUUGUUUGUUUUGUUUUUUUGUUUUGCCAAGCUGGAAAAAGCCAGGGCCAAGCUGUCUGGGUUCCCCACUGAGGAACCGCCCUCCUCGAUGCUUGCCCAAGAGGCUGAGGAGCCCCCUCUCCCUGCCAGCCAGCCAGCCCAGCCCACCAGCAGCCAGGCCUGGGCUCCUCUCCUUCCCACGCGCCUGGAUUCCAAGGCCUGUCCUGCUGGCCCCGGGGGCCCAGGUCAGAGAACAGGCGCCAUCCGGUGCUGUGCCGGAAUCGCACUUUACCUGGCUCUUCCGAGGCACCGAAGCUGCCGAGCCAAGCUCUCUGCCUGCAUGGAGGCGGCUGGGACCUUGAUACCUUGACUCCAAAGGCGGUCAGUCUCACUCAUGGGUAGGCUCCUUCCACCGGCUACCUAAUAAAAGUGAGUCACAUCUGGGACCCACCACUUCCUGCUCGGCAGGGGCGGUAGGGUAGCGGCAGAGGGCUAGCGAGCUAAGGCUGGGCCCUCAGCUCUGCUCAGUUCUUGCUGUGGUGGGGGUGUGAGGAGGGCCCCUCUCCCAGUCGGGCGAGCCAGCCACAGUCGUGGGGGAGCUACCAGGCCAAGUUCCCAGCUCCAAUGACUUCAUGGAAAUUUGAAGCUUGAAGCUGGAACAAUUUAAAAAAAAAAAGAUAAAA
rnacentral:lncRNA from 1 species